rnacentral:misc_RNA from 1 species
CAAUAAGAGUGUUUAUGGCACUCUUCCAAAAAUCCAUACCCACCUUGUGUGCAACGUAAGAAGAAAAAACGCGAGUCAUGGGGGGACAGAGUUGGCAACAACAAAAGAAGCCCAAGACUUGCCUUUUUUCUUUUCCACAUACACCUUUCUAUAAGUUCCUAUUGUCUGAAGCUGUUAGAGAAUUGACUAAUUCUUAAACA